rnacentral:tRNA from 2 species
GCCUCAAUAGCUCAGGGGUAGAGCGUUUGCCUCGUAAGCAACAAGUCGCGGGUUCAAUUCCCGCUUGGGGCU